UUUUGUACUGUUUAAAGGAAUUCAUAUUGUACAAUUUAAAGGCAUUAGCAGAGUGUUUAAAACAACUAAGAAGAAAGGUUUAUUUACUGCAAACCUUGCUUAUGAACAAUGACUACAUUUUUAAUUAAUAACACAGAUCCUUUUGCACAAUACUUUAUAAAAGGAAUCAACAUCUUUCCUGUGAAAAAGUUAGAAAGCAAAUAUUUUAGGUUUUACAAGCCAAGAGGCAAAAGAGAGGCUAUUAUGUAGGAACUUACAUAACACAAAAAUAAAGACAAAUCUCCACAAAGUUGUAAGUUAACAAGUAUUCAAAAUAUUGUAAAACUUGAGUGCAAAUGUCUGUAACACAAACCUGCUAAAGAAAGAGAGUAUUGUUUUGGGAAGAGGGAAAGGAGUGGGAAAAUUUUCAAUAGUUAAGAUUCAAAGUUAGUGUUUCUGUUAACAAAGGGUCCUAACACUCACCCGCAUUGUUGUUCGCUCACUGGGUACGCAAAGACAGACAGUUAGUGGACUGGAACUGUGAGCCAUAAUUCACCAACCUCCGUUUUAGAGUUUUGGAUGCUUUCAAGUGAGCAAAACAUUCUCAUGUAUAUCGGUCACAGUAGUUCUGCAAGAAAGACAGAUGGAUGCACUGUCCUGCCAUUAUUGAAGUCUUUGAAACUUCCACGAGUGAUUUGAUAUCCCGAAAGAGCACAGGCAGAAGAAGAUGAUGGAACCAAGACUUGGCUUCAACUCUUCAUUCAGAGCAGUCUGAUCUAGAGCAUAUACCAAGUCUUUGCUUCCUCUGAUUUGGUAAGCUAAAAAUUAAGCUCUUGUGCUAUCCCAAAAUAACACCAAUAUCAUCUAAAAGAGUUUUGGGACUCAGCUGUUGUAUCAGAAUAUCUUCAAGGGUGACACAUCUUUGCCUUAGUCAACAAACCUGGCCUUGGGAAACAGCCUCAAAGCCUUUGAUGCCAAAUGUCAAACUUAAUUUGAAUUGUAAACAACAUUUGGCUGUAAUAUACAGAUUUGGGGGGGGGGUCCUAAAAGAAUGAUUUCUGACAAAUAAUGUCCAGGGAACAUUCAAAACGAAUUGAAAACCAGAUAAAUCUUCAUUAAGCAAAUGCAUAGCCUCCCAAUUGACUACUAUUUAUAGAAUUUUAGAAUUUAGGUGCUUCAGAAAUGAAUUUUUGCAAGCUCCCAAAUUAAUAGAAGAAAACUCAGAAAGGUUACUUUGAAGAUCAGCACUUACAUGAAAUGUAAAAUUUAACAUUGGUUUUAAAAUCCUUCUCUCAGGAGAAAUAAGCAAUGCAUGAAUUCUUCUCCGGCAUCUAUCUUGUGAAUAACACUGACUAUCGUAACACUAAACAAGGACAGGGUCUGUUCCUUAAAAAGACUGAGAAGGCCAGCCUUGUCAAAGAAAGCCACUGGUUCAAAUGACAUUUUAAAAUGUCUCCCAGGGGGAGGGACAUGAACAAAGUCUAUACACAUUGCAAACUCCUCAAAAAUGUGAAGUUAGGGAGAAGCAAAGAUGGACAAGGGGUAUCAGGGGGAGAAAAUGAACAGUGUAUGUUAUGUUCACGUACAAAUUUAAUCUGUAUAACCAACCAAAAAGAGAGCAGAACAUUUUUAUUCCAAUCCCCAAAUUAUGUGAUGCUAAGUAGAAUCCACUGGAGACAAAGUCAUUACUGAGUGCUUCCUGUGUGCUUUAAGAGUGAUCCAUUUUUAGCUCAUAUAAGGUUCACAAUAAUCCUAGAUGCUGGUUCUUAUUAACCCCACAGAUGAAGAAACCUCGCUUAGAAACAUUUGCCUAAUUUCACAUUCAUAGCAAGAGCAAGAUAUUUGAUUCCAACUCAGUCAGUUAGUUAGGGUUCAGAUGGAGAAAAUCCUGAAGUAUAAUAUAUAUUUGACUGUGAUUGUAGGAACUGGCUGCAGUGUUUAUGUACUGCCCUUGCUUUUGCAUCUCAUGCCAGGGCUGAAGUCAGAAGGCCAAAGAUGUGGGAGAGCGUCCUGUGGGGAAAUGAUGGCAAAGUGCCUUUGGGUGUAAUAUUUUAAAACGUAAACAUUCACCAUUUAUUUUGAUCACACCGAGCGACGUCCAUCUCUACUUCUAUGUCUACUUUGUUCGUGAUCCCAUGGACAAUAACCAAGGGAGAUAGAAAGAGAAAUUGAUCCAAGGAUGUUGUCCACUGUGCUCACAUGAAGAGCCUUCUCUCCAAGGCUGCUCCUUGGUGAAUACUCAGAGAGGUUCAUCUACAAACCACAUCCCCAGACCUCCUUGUGACUAAUUUUCCAGCAGGCCUCUUUCCAAGUCCCUGGCCAUCUAGACAAUCCCAUGAGUCAUGGUAUUUACAUCUCCACCCCUUUCUCUUUCUGAGCAAAAUGUACCAACAGGUACACAGCUUGGAGUUCUGCCCGUGGAUGAGCAUUUUCAUCAUCGCAGUCCUGAGGGUCACCCCAAAAUGAAACUACUAGUCUACAACCUGUACUUCUAGGUGCUCCAAUGAAAUGGUUCUCAUUGGUUCAGACACAGUGGAUUCCUGAAUCUAAAAGACGGACAAAGUAAAAGGAGAAAUCAACAUUGCGCUAUGAAGCACAAGAAAAAAGAUUUACCAUAGGAAGCUGUGAAAAUGGCAACAGAACACCCCAUUUUAAAAUGCCUGUCCCUAUUGCAGCUCUCAGGAAUCCAAAACAGAUUCCCAUAAACUAGAAGGUGGGACAGGUAUGAGCUAAGAGGAACCAGAACCAUCAACAAUUUGACAACAUAACAAGAAGAAUGACAAGGGCCAUUUUGAUUUUGGCGAAGACCCAGAAGUCACUUGGUGUCAGACCCAAUGAACAAGGUUGGUGAGGACACACUGCGGUAUUUUUGUGAGCCUGCAUUGCCACUGGAUGUCGCUUAGCAGUGCCGUUCGCUGUAGCUUUGAUCACACCUCGUAAAGACAGUCAGGAAAGGAGACGUCCAGAACUGCUUCAGAAAGUAGCAAGAAACAUGGGAUACGUAUGCUUGAAGUGAGAGAGAGCAUUUUGAAGGGAUUCAAGGCAAUGUAUCUUUUACUGUAAUAAUUUAAUGUAGGAAUUUGUUGCAUGGUUUGAUUACUUCUUCUAUAAAGAUUAAAAUAUGAGAAGUGGAACUAGAUACCCACAAAAUCUUUCUUCUUGUCUUCCUGUGACUUGUACUCUCUGAGCCUCCCAAAGGUGACAGCAGCCAGAAAAAUCUUGGCAUUACUACCUACAUGUCUGAUGGCUUGGGAAUUUCUCUAUUUUUCCUACAAUGACUCUCCUACUCUGACUGCUAGUUGACAAAAACGGGAAAGUUGAAAAAUGCAGUCACUGUCAAAGCUUAAGAAAAAAGAGGGAGUUAUGACAAGGAUAAUCCAAGAACUGCCAUUACUGUCAAAAACAAGGAUAAUCUAAGAAUUGCAGUUAAGCCAAGGAGUAUUAAUGCUUGGCUUUGAGAAAGAUCAUCAAAUUUAGGGAGCCUUUUGCUGAACUCCAGCAAAUACUGAAAUGGGUCUAUGCCCUGGAAAUAUCCACCAGCUCAGCUCUGGGAGGCCAGCCUGAGUUUCAGACUUCUCUUCAGCUGAGACACAAAGUGGUGGUUCACGUGGAUGAAUGGAAUAUUGAUUGUGUGCGGGAGUCGAGAAACGCCAGGAGGAGGGAUUUUUCAUAUGCAUGCAAGCCCAAGAUGCCCCCAGUCAGAUGGGUAAUCCUAUCCCCCACGCUCCAGAAGAUGCUUACAAUAAUCAUGGGUCACAGUCAAGAGUCCUUUAUUCGCAUGGCAAACAGCAUUUGAAAAUGAAGCUCCGUGCAAUUAAGGUUUGCUGAGAAUUUCUUCUCCUCACAUAUGGCAAUACUUAUCUUCAAAGCUCUCCUCUUUGGCUCACGGGCUUCUUUGCAAAGCAGCUGGUCUUGUGUGGCCUAAUUGUGAGAUGAUUUGUUGUGUGAUUCCAGUAGCAUUGUUUAUUUGUACAGUGGUUCGGUGGAAUUUAUAAACUGCAUAAUAUUGUUCUAGACUGUUUUCUUUUGAGUAAAAAGCCACAUUUUCUCCAGCAUUCAUGACUGGGAUUAUAAUUAGGUGGAGCACUUGAGAUAUUUUCAUCCUGACUUCCUCCUGUUAAUUAAUGACAUUCUGUAAGAAACUCUUGCAAACUAAGUGGAAAGAUGUAAGCAGAACAUGGAAAGAGAACCAGAGUGACGAAUCGAGUUGAAAUCAAUCUUUGUUUUGCAUAUGAGAGCUUGUUAACAAAUGCUCAAAUGUAACUAAUACAAGCUGUAUGUUAUUUCUAAUUAGUUCUAGCUGUUCUCUGGAAAAUAGAGUCAAAUAUGGAGAAUCUUAAAAGCGAUCUUUUGCUAUUCUUGGUCCGUCCCUGAGAAACCCCCAGAAAAUGGUCCCAAUUACUUGUCACAAUUUCUUUAAUGAUGAAAUGUCUCCAGUGCUUCCAGGCUUAUAAAAAGUUCUAAGAGAAUUUGACCUUCCCAUUUUGUUUCCUUUAUUAAAAAGAAGCUUCAUGUGGGUUUUUUUUUUCCAAUAAGAAUAUUUCUAAAUAAAGUAUGAAUGGAAUUUUCAAAGUACUUUGGAGAUUUCAAAAAAAGUGCAAUUUCCAGGAUCUGGGAUUGGACUAGAAUCCUUUAUAAUGUU